rnacentral:rRNA from 1 species
GAGAGAGUGCCCUUCGGGGAGCUUGAAAACAGGUGCUGCACGGCUGUCGUCAGCUCGUGUCGUGAGAUGUUGGGUUAAGUCCCGCAACGAGCGCAACCCUCGUCGUUAGUUGCUAACAGUUCGGCUGAGCACUCUAGCGAGACUGCCUUCGCAAGGAGGAGGAAGGUGAGGACGACGUCAAGUCAUCAUGGCCCUUAUGGCUAGGGCUACACACGUGCUACAAUGGGGCGUACAGAGAGUUGCAAUACCGCGAGGUGGAGCCAAUCUCAUAAAGCGUCUCUCAGUUCGGAUUGUUCUCUGCAACUCGAGAACAUGAAGCUGGAAUCACUAGUAAUCGUAGAUCAGCAUUGCUACGGUGAAUACGUUCCCGGGUCUUGUACUCACCGCCCGUCACACCAUGGGAGUUGAUUUCGCCCGAAGCGGGGAUGCUAAACUAGCUACCCUCUACGGCGGAAUUAGCGACUGGGGUGAAGUCGUAACAAGGUAACCGUAGGAGAACC